rnacentral:rRNA from 1 species
GAACGCUGGCGGCGUGCCUAAUACAUGCAAGUAGAACGCUGAAGGAGAAGCUUGCUUCUCUGGAUGAGUUGCGAACGGGUGAGUAACGCGUAGGUAACCUGCCUGGUAGCGGGGGAUAACUAUUGGAGACGAUAGCUAAUACCGCAUAAGAGUAGAUGUUGCAUGACAUUUACUUAAAAGGUGCAAAUGCAUCACUACCAGAUGGACCUGCGUUGUAUUAGCUAGUUGGUGGGGUAACGGCUCACCAAGGCAACGAUACAUAGCCGACCUGAGAGGGUGAUCGGCCACACUGGGACUGAGACACGGCCCAGACCCCUACGGGAGGCAGCAGUAGGGAAUCUUCGGCAAUGGACGGAAGUCUGACCGAGCAACGCCGCGUGAGUGAAGAAGGUUUUCGGAUCGUAAAGCUCUGUUGUAAGAGAAGAACGAGUGUGAGAGUGGAAAGUUCACACUGUGACGGUAUCUUACCAGAAAGGGACGGCUAACUACGUGCCAGCAGCCGCGGUAAUACGUAGGUCCCGAGCGUUGUCCGGACUUAUUGGGCGUAAAGCGAGCGCAGGCGGUUAGAUAAGUCUGAAGUUAAAGGCUGUGGCUUAACCAUAGUACGCUUUGGAAACUGUUUAACUUGAGUGCAAGAGGGGAGAGUGGAAUUCCAUGUGUAGCGGUGAAAUGCGUAGAUAUAUGGAGGAACACCGGUGGCGAAAGCGGCUCUCUGGCUUGUAACUGACGCUGAGGCUCGAAAGCGUGGGGAGCAAACAGGAUUAGAUACCCUGGUAGUCCACGCCGUAAACGAUGAGUGCUAGGUGUUAGACCCUUUCCGGGGCUUAGUGCCGCAGCUAACGCAUUAAGGCACUCCGCCUGGGGAGUACGACCGCAAGGGUG